rnacentral:sRNA from 1 species
GCCGGGCGCAGUAGCACAUGCCUGUAAUCCCAGCCACUCAGGAGGCUGAGGCAGGAGAAUCAUGAGUUCAAAGCUAGCCUCUGCAAAAAGCAAGGCCCUAAGCAACUUAGGGAGACCCUGUCUCUA